rnacentral:rRNA from 1 species
UACGUAGGGGGCGAGCGUUGUCCGGAAUUAUUGGGCGUAAAGAGCUCGUAGGCGGUUCGGCAAGUCACGUGUGAAAUCUCCACGCUCAACGUGGAGGCGCCACGUGAGACUGCUGUGACUCGAGUCCGGUAGGGGAGCGUGGAAUUCCCGGUGUAGCGGUGAAAUGCGCAGAGAUCGGGAGGAACACCCGUAGCGAAGGCGGCGCUCUGGGCCGGUACUGACGCUGAGGAGCGAAAGCGUGGGGAGCAAACAGGAUUAGAUACCCUGGUAGUCCACGCCGUAAACGUUGGGCACUAGGUGUGGGGCUCUAUCGACGGGCUCCGUGCCGUAGCUAACGCAUUAAGUGCCCCGCCUGGGGAGUACGGCCGCAAGGCUAAA